GUCCCGAAAAGCGACUUUAUCGAGUUAGAAUUUCAUAAAGCAUUAACGUCUGCAUUUGUAUUGUAUGUAAAAUGAUAUAUAUGUGUAUAUAUUAUAAUAAUGCAAUAUAUAUAUUAUUAUAAAAAUGCUGUCCGAUAUUUUUGAACGAAUUCGACAGUCUAUAGCGAAACAUGUUUAUGCGUAUUUCGGGCAUUUGUUUUACGAAUUCAUGUCUGUGAAUUUUUUCCUUUGUUUUCACAUGUAGAAUUUAUA
rnacentral:misc_RNA from 1 species